rnacentral:antisense_RNA from 1 species
GUCGCAGCCCCGCCCGUCCCAGCCCGGGAAGCUGGGACUUGAGUUGGUCUGCGUUCGGGCAAGGUGCCUGGCACGGUUGCUGUCCAGGGCUUAGAGAACAGAGGAAGAGCCCUUGAGUCUGUGCACACUCUGCCACCACGGCCCCGCCCACCUCUGGAGCCCACAGGUGCCCAGCCCACAGGUGUCUUGCUUUUGGCUAGACUCCUGCCAUAUGGGGACCCCCAUGAUGGCCACUCAGGAGAUGGGGGGCCCAGGAGGACAGGGGAGUGACUCCAGGCUGUGACCGGAAAUUCCCCGUGGCCCCUGUUCCAGUCCCCAGGGAGAUGGGAGGGCCACACGCUGUUAUGAGGAAGAGGACACCGGGCUGGCCCUGGCCCAGGGUGGGCAGCUCUGGUUUCACUGCUUGGCUCCGAGCCCGAGGCAGGUGCAGGAGCCAGGCACGGUGAGCAGGGCCCAGUGCCCCUCAGGCUCUGGGGAAGGGGUACAGCCAGGUGGCCUAGAGCGAGGAGGUGCUGGGGACAGGUGUAACCACUUCCAGUCUCUCCCAGACUGCUGACCUUCAUCCUCUCCCAGAUUCCAAGGGCCACUGCUGGGAGCAUGGGGUGGACAUCGUCCCACCAGCCUCCUGGAUCCACAUCCGUAAAGACUCCAAAGUGAAGUGAGGCUGGCUUCUCUCCAGCUCACAGCAGAGGAAGGGGCAGCCUCAGGGCCCAGCAACUUGCUCAGAGCGCACAGGAGUGCUCUGGGGCUGGGCCAGCCCAGGGCCUCUGACUCUGCCCC